UACGGGGGGGGCAAGCGUUGUUCGGAAUUACUGGGCGUAAAGGGUUCGUAGGUGGCUGGCUAAGUCAGACGUGAAAUCCCUCAGCUUAACUGGGGAACUGCGUCUGAGACUGGUCAGCUUGAGUGCAGGAGAGGAACGCGGAAUUCCAGGUGUAGCGGUGAAAUGCGUAGAUAUCUGGAGGAACACCGGUGGCGAAGGCGGCGUUCUGGACUGCAACUGACACUGAGGAACGAAAGCCAGGGGAGCAAACGGG
rnacentral:rRNA from 1 species